CCCAUUAGGGAACGAAUACAGUCGAGCGGAUGACGGGAGCUUGCUCCUUGAUUCAGCGGCGGACGGGUGAGUAAUGCCUAGGAAUCUGCCUGGUAGUGGGGGACAACGUUUCGAAAGGAACGCUAAUACCGCAUACGUCCUACGGGAGAAAGCAGGGGACCUUCGGGCCUUGCGCUAUCAGAUGAGCCUAGGUCGGAUUAGCUAGUUGGUGGGGUAAUGGCUCACCAAGGCGACGAUCCGUAACUGGUCUGAGAGGAUGAUCAGUCACACUGGAACUGAGACACGGUCCAGACUCCUACGGGAGGCAGCAGUGGGGAAUAUUGGACAAUGGGCGAAAGCCUGAUCCAGCCAUGCCGCGUGUGUGAAGAAGGUCUUCGGAUUGUAAAGCACUUUAAGUUGGGAGGAAGGGCAGUAAGCUAAUACCUUGCUGUUUUGACGUUACCGACAGAAUAAGCACCGGCUAACUCUGUGCCAGCAGCCGCGGUAAUACAGAGGGUGCAAGCGUUAAUCGGAAUUACUGGGCGUAAAGCGCGCGUAGGUGGUUUGUUAAGUUGGAUGUGAAAGCCCCGGGCUCAACCUGGGAACUGCAUCCAAAACUGGCAAGCUAGAGUACGGUAGAGGGUGGUGGAAUUUCCUGUGUAGCGGUGAAAUGCGUAGAUAUAGGAAGGAACACCAGUGGCGAAGGCGACCACCUGGACUGAUACUGACACUGAGGUGCGAAAGCGUGGGGAGCAAACAGGAUUAGAUA
rnacentral:rRNA from 1 species